rnacentral:rRNA from 1 species
AACGAACGCUGGCGGCAGGCUUAACACAUGCAAGUCGAGCGCCCCGCAAGGGGAGCGGCAGACGGGCGAGUAACGCGUGGGAACGUACCCUUUGACACGGAAUAGCGCCGGGAAACUGGAAUUAACACCGCAUGUGCCCUACGGGGUAACGAUUUAUCGGCAAAGGAUCGGCCCGCGAUGGAUUAGCUAGUUGGUGGGGUAAUGGCCUACCAAGGCGACGAUCCAUAGCUGGUCCGAGAGGAUGAACAGCCACAUUGGGACUGAGACACGGCCCAAGCUCCUACGGGAGGCAGCAGUGGGGAAUAUUGGACAAUGGGCGCAAGCCUGAUCCAGCCAUGCCGCGUGAGUGAUGAAGGCCUUAGGGUUGUAAAGCUCUUUCACCGGAGAAGAUAAUGACGGUAUCCGGAGAAGAAGCCCCGGCUAACUUCGUGCCAGCAGCCGCCGUAAGAC